UACAGAGGGGGCAAGCGUUGUUCGGAAUUACUGGGCGUAAAGGGCGCGUAGGCGGCCUGCUAAGUCGAACGUGAAAUCCCCGGGCUCAACCCGGGAACUGCGUCCGAUACUGGUGGGCUUGAAUCCGGGAGAGGGAUGUGGAAUUCCAGGUGUAGCGGUGAAAUUCGUAGAUAUCUGGAGGAACAUCGGUGGCGAAGGCGGCAUCCUGGACCGGUAUUGACGCUGAGGCGCGAAAGCCAGGGGAGCAAACGGG
rnacentral:rRNA from 1 species